UCUCGGGAGCCAGAGCCCGCCCCGCCCGGCUCCCCAAACCCAGCUCGGGCAAUAUCUCUGCUCCUUGCUCCAGCGCUGGCGCCGCAGCACCCUCCCGCGCCGCUCCGCUCUCCUUAAGUAUCCCCCAACCCAACUUCUACUCCAGACUCCUCCAGAGGAAGGUCAUCCUCCUAUUCUGCCAAUUUAGGAAGCAGUCGAAAAGAUGUUGAAAAAUGGGGGCCCCUUAAGCCCCAAGGACUUUGCUCAAUUACAGGAAUAUAUGGAAUAUUCAACCAAGAAAGUCAGUGAUGUCCUAGCUCUGUUCAAUGAAGAUGGAGAAUUGGCUCAGUAUCUCCAGGGAGAUUCCAUAGGAUACGAAGGGUUUCAGCUCUUCCUGAAAGCCUACCUGGAGGUGAAUAAUGUUCCUCCACAACUGAGCCAAGCACUUUUUGGGUCCUUCCAGACUAUAGAGUCUCAAAAACAAGGUGAUGAACAAGAAGUAGCCUUGAUCUGUCUCAAUGAUGUCUCCUGCUAUUUCUCCUUACUGGAGGGUGGACGGCCUGAAGACAAGCUAGAAUUUACCUUCAAGCUAUAUGAUACAGACAGAAAUGGACUUUUGGACAGCUCGGAAGUGGACAGAAUUAUCACCCAGAUGAUGCGUGUGGCAAGAUAUCUGGACUGGGAUGUAACUGAGCUGAGACCAAUUUUGCAGGAGAUGAUGAAAGAGAUUGACUAUGAUGGCAGUGGUACAGUCUCUCUGGCUGAGUGGGUACGAGGUGGAUCUACCACUGUGCCUCUGCUGGUGCUGUUGGGACUAGAGGUGAGCUUGAAGGAUGAUGGGCAGCACAUGUGGCGGCUGAAGCAAUUUUCCCGUCCAGCUUAUUGUAAUGUAUGUGAGACAAUGCUGCUCGGGAUAACCAAGCGGGGACUCUCUUGUACCUUUUGUAAAUUCACAGUACAUGAGCGCUGUGCCAAGAAGGCUUCACCCUGUGAAGUCAGCACCUAUGCCAAGUCCAAGAAAGACACUGGUGCUCAGACCCAUGUGUGGGUUCGUGGAGGCUGUGACUCUGGACGCUGUGACUGUUGCCAAAAGAAGAUACGGAAUUUCCAAAGCCUGACAGGACUGCAUUGUGUGUGGUGCCAUUUCCAGAUCCAUGAGGACUGUCUCUCUACCAUGAGCCCUGAAUGUGACUGUGGGAUGCUCCGUGACCACAUCCUGCCUCCCUCAGCCAUCUAUCCUUGUAUCCUGGACCGCCAGAACUUGAGCGCCAGGAAUGUGGAUGAAUUACAACAUUUGGUCCCUGAUGGGCAGGCCCUGCGGAUUAUUCCGGUCCCCAACACCCACCCACUCCUCGUCUUUGUAAACCCCAAAAGUGGUGGGAAGCAAGGGGAAAGGGUCCUUCGAAAGUUCCAGUACCUGCUGAAUCCACGACAGGUUUACAACCUUGCAAAGGGGGGUCCUGAACCAGGGCUCAAGUUCUUCAAGGACCUCCCAGAUUUCCGGGUAUUGGUAUGUGGAGGAGACGGCACAGUAGGCUGGAUCCUAGAUGCCAUUGACAAGGCCAGCUUCCCUAACCCACCACCAGUGGCUGUGCUUCCUCUAGGCACAGGGAAUGACCUAGCUCGAUGCCUAAGAUGGGGAGGAGGUUAUGAUGGGGAGAACUUAUCGAAGAUACUCAAGGACUUAGAGUUAAGUGAAACAGUAUAUAUGGAUCGAUGGUCUGUGGAAGUGAUUCCUCUGGACCCCCAAGAAAAGAGUGAUCCAGUCCCCUACAACAUCAUCAACAAUUACUUCUCCAUUGGUGUGGAUGCCUCUAUUGCUCACCGAUUUCACAUCAUGAGGGAGAAACAUCCUGAGAAGUUCAACAGCAGGGCCUAUGUAACCUGGCCUAUGUAACCUGCCCCCUCCCCCCUGGGCCUGGGGUAUGGGGCUGAGGCAGGAUGAAGAACAAGCUGUGGUACUUGGAGUUCGCCACAUCCGAGUCCAUCUUCUCCACAUGCAAAAAGCUGGAAGAGUCUGUUUCAGUGGAGAUCUGUGGGACACCUUUGACACUGAGUGACCUAUCCUUGGAGGGCAUUGCAGUCCUAAAUAUUCCCAGCAUGCAUGGAGGCUCCAAUCUCUGGGGAGACAAAAAGCGACCCUCCAAAGAUGUCCAGGGUUUAGAUUUGGCCUCUGUGCCUCCUGAAGCAAUCACCAACCCUGAAGCCCUGAAAACCUGUGUACAAGAUCUGAGUGACAAGCGACUAGAAGUGGUAGGACUAGAAGGAGCAAUUGAAAUGGGCCAGAUAUAUACCAGGCUGAAGAAUGCCGGACACCGGAUUGCUAAAUGCUCCCAAAUUACUUUUCGGACUAAAAAAGCCCUCCCCAUGCAGAUCGACGGGGAACCCUGGAUGCAGGCACCAUGUACUAUCCAGAUCACGCACAAGAAUCAAAUGCCUAUGCUUAUGGGCCCCCCACCACGCUCCUCCAACUUCUUCAACCUUUGGUCCUGAGGGAAGGGCUCUUCAGCCCCUCUUCUUCAUUUCCCUAGGCUUUCCUCUACAUCUAUGCUACCCACCCCCUGCUCCUCCCUUGGUGAGCUUGGGUGGGCUCCUUCCCUUCACAAAUAUUUAUUGUCCCACUCUGCUUCCCUUCCUGCUCAACAUACACAUUGAAAGUGCCUCAUCUGAAUAAAAUCAUUUGGUUUUUCACUAAA